AGGGGCAUAGCUCAGUGGUUAGAGCACCCGCAUACGUAUCUGAAGGUCGGGUGUUCGACUCCCUCUGCCUCCA
rnacentral:tRNA from 1 species